GAAUACUCCAUUUGCUCCUUAAAAUAGACACCAUUAUCUGUUGAAUUGGCAGGAGUACAGUGAGAGAAAAAAUAAAUUUUAUCCAUGUUAUUGCUGCCUUUCACUGAUAUGUAGGUCAAAGUGUUCCAAAUAAAACAGAAGAAAACCCUGAGUUCCAGAGCAUUAGACAGAAUUCCCUUUUACAGGCAAAAAGUUGUGGGGGUCCCAAAGCCAUCUAGAUAGGGAGUGCAUUCUACCAGAUACAAAAAUGUGGCAUCUAUGGGGAAAAAAUUUUGGAAAAUAGCUUCUGUGCUCUAUCUAGGAUGUGCUCUUGGCUGGUUUUCUGUUAAUCUGUAUAACAUUCACUCAUUGGGCAAGCAGACAGCCAUGAAUUUUUGCCUUGUAAUGUUUGCAGACAUCCAAGUUGAGGGCAUCUGGAGAGAGGUUCCAUUCAGGAUGCUCAGAAGAAACAGCUCUGCACGCAGGAAGCUGGAGAUCCCAUUUUCUUCUGUUAAUGAGAACAAAGAUACAACUGUAUCUAUUUUCAGUUUCACCUCAAAACCCUCUGAGGAGAUCUACGAAUUCAGCAUGUAGUGAAUUACAGUAAUAUACUGAAAGGGAUUGUUUUUCACGGCUCAAACACAAGACUGAGUUAAGCUGGUUAACGACCUACUAUCCCUCAGUUGAUCAUGGAUAAACAACCAUUUCAUUAACAGCAAGCCAGUGCUUUUUACCUCCUAAUUACUGUAGCUUGAAAGAGCACACAUAGAUCUGUUACUUAUGUCCAACAAGUAUGUGGUAAUAACUUGAUUACAGUGUGGUAAACAUGAGCACCAAGAAUCCUGACAUGGCUAAAAUCAUUCAGGUUUUCCCACUGGAACCUCUCCAUCCCUGAACUGCUGUUCCUGAGCUACUCUGAUCUCCAAGCUAUAGCACACUGCCUGCCUGCUCUUUGCAACCCUGCUGAGGGUAUUUGGGCAUUGUGGCUGUGCUACCACUGAUAAGUUGCAUCUGUCUUGGAUAAAAGUAGAUAUUCUACUGGGCUGGCUUUAUUUGCGCUUCGUAUUUUGAAUCUGAAGUCCAUGCUCCAAGACAUAAAAUUUUCUUGCGCUGAAGUGGUGGUUGCCUGUCAGACCUCCUAAUUUUUCUUUUAUUGAUAGUAAAUUCAUCAUGAGUUCUUCGUUUGCUGCUCAAAGCUGGGCCUUGAAGGGUCUGCAAGAUUAAAUUAAUGAAUGGCUACUGGUAAUUAAAAAGCCAUGUAACGGGUAUGCUUAUUUGUCUUCUAAUAGUAUGCAAAUCUAUGAGAUUAAAAUCGCUUAAGCUAAACAUCUAACACAUUGUAUGAGUUUUACAGAUAGCCGACCAUUUUCUUGGGAUGUUAUAAACAUUUUCUCACAAAACUAAGGACUGCUUCAUGAAAACACCCUAUUUUCUCAUCUAGUUAAUGGAGAGUAUCUGGAUAAAGUUAAGUAGCUCUCAUUUUGAUAUAAUGUACCUAGAGCUGCUCUUGUAGAUCAACUUUCAAGAAAGAACUCAAGUAUAUUUGUAGCCCAACUACAAUUCUCUUUCUUGAGUGCAGUAUGAAGAGGGAAAAAAAUGGUUUACAAAAUAUGCCCCUCUAUAUUUUCCUGCCACUCUUGAUAGCAAGUGUUUUUUACCUCAGGCAUCAAAAAAAGAAAAAAAUAACCUGCAAUGACACAGUCCUUGUGUACAAGUCCCACACAGCAGAUUUCAGAAAGCAAGUACACAUGAAAAAGCAAUAGCAUAUACUAUUAGGCUGUUUAACUGAUGGCUGAUUCGUAAACAUUUGUUUAAUCCUUUCAAAGAUAAUUAAAAAAAAAAAAGCUAUAGAUGAAUUUUAUGAUUGCAGUGGGGUAAUUACAUGUAAAUAAUAAUAUUUUUAAUGAUAGUGACUGUUUUAGAUUUACAGAGUAUAUGUAAAGCAACUCUAAUUUUGUGAGCAAGUUUAUCAUUCAAACAUUGUGACAGUAUUGUAUGUAAAUAUUUACAUCCUUGAGAGCCUCUAAGAUUUGUCUAGUUCCAGAUUCUAUUGAUCUUUAUUCAAAUUUGAAACCAAUCACUUAUGCUAUGCACACUAAUUUCUCUUUCCUAGCUGGAUUCACAAAUACAAGAGAGCUUGAAACAUAGCCCCAUUUUGAAUAGAAUGAAUGCCAGAUCUGGGGAGGGAGAGUAAGGAAGUUCAGUCCUUUGAGUCAAGCAAUGGAUGCGUGGCCAAAUGCCUCAUACUACAAUGAAUGGGAACCAAAUUAGACCCGCAGAGGUUGAUAUAUGGUCAGAGUGCCACAACUUCAUUCCUAUUUCUUACAUUUUUCAUACGGUAUCAAAAAGCCAGAGGGAAGAUUAAUUUUAUUGCUAGGAAUAUACUAGAUGCCAGCACCUAAUCAAGGACAGGGGAACUCAGGUAAAACAACUUCAAACCCAUUGUUACUCAGAUCAUUGCUUCUUAUUGAGGAUGUUUACUCUUCUUUUGAGCAUGUGCAUGCAUUCUAUGUAUGAUAGUGCUAUUUAUGUUCCUACUUUUGAAACCAGUGGGAGUUUUCUUAGUUUGAAGCUUUCUACCAUUUCCAUAGUACUUGUUAAAAAUCAGAGCAGGAAGAUACAGAACAUAAGUUACAACUGAAUUCAAUAAAAAUUUGAUUGGCAUAAAGGUUAUCA
rnacentral:lncRNA from 1 species